rnacentral:pre_miRNA from 1 species
AAAGUACUCCCUCCGUCCCAAAAUUCUUGUUUUAGAUUUGUCUAGAUAUGGAUGUAUCAAGUCACAUUUUAGUAUUAGAUACAUCUGUAUCUAGACAAAUCUAAGACAAGAAAUUUGGGACAGAGGGAGUAGUUG